rnacentral:lncRNA from 1 species
GCUGCCAGAAAUGCUCGAAGCCUUUUAUAGCAUUUGAUAUAGGUUCUCAAGGUGUCCCUCCUGGACCCAAAUGGAGUCAGCCUGCAUUUCAGGAUGUGCCCCUUAAAUCUAAUCUCAACCAGUCUUUUGUGCAGAAAGAACUUCCUAACCAAGGAACCUCGAAAAUGACUGCAGGAAGUGCUGGGUUUCCACCUACACGAACUGGACCCCAACUCCUGGACCCAAAUGGAGUCAGCCUGGAUUUCAGGAUGUGCCCCUUAAAUCUAAUCUCCACCAGUCUUUUGUGCAGAAAGAACUUCCUAACCAAGGAACCUCGAAAAUGACUGCAGGAAGUGCUGGGUUUCCACCUACACGAACUGGACCCCAACAGGGUCCAGAGAUAUGCAGAGGAAAGACUGCUCCAGUGUUUGAGGAUAUGAGAACCAAACGGAAGGAUGGAAAGCAAACAGGUGGUAUGAGAGAAGGAGCUGCAAUGCCAAAGGUGAAU